rnacentral:tRNA from 1 species
AAGAUUUUAAGUUAAUAAAACUAUUAACCUUCAAAGUUAAAAUUGCUAAUAGUAAAUCUUA